CUCGUAGGCGGCUUGUUGCGUCAGCUGUGAAAGCCCGCAGCUCAACUGUGGGCUUGCAGCUGAUACGGGCAGGCUUGAGUUCGGUAGGGGAGACUGGAAUUCCUGGUGUAGCGGUGAAAUGCGCAGAUAUCAGGAGGAACACCGGUGGCGAAGGCGGGUCUCUGGGCCGAUACUGACGCUGAGGAGCGAAAGCGUGGGGAGCGAACA
rnacentral:rRNA from 1 species